AGUGAACGCUGGCGGUAGGCCUAACACAUGCAAGUCGAACGGCAGCACAGUAAGAGCUUGCUCUUACGGGUGGCGAGUGGCGGACGGGUGAGGAAUACAUCGGAAUCUACUUUUUCGUGGGGGAUAACGUAGGGAAACUUACGCUAAUACCGCAUACGACCUACGGGUGAAAGCAGGGGAUCUUCGGACCUUGCGCGAUUGAAUGAGCCGAUGUCGGAUUAGCUAGUUGGCGGGGUAAAGGCCCACCAAGGCGACGAUCCGUAGCUGGUCUGAGAGGAUGAGCAGCCACAAUGGAACUGAGAAACGGUCCAGACUCCUACGGGAGGCAGCAGUGGGGAAUAUUGGACAAUGGGCGCAAGCCUGAUCCAGCCAUACCGCGUGGGUGAAGAAGGCCUUCGGGUUGUAAAGCCCUUUUGUUGGGAAAGAAAAGCAGCAGGUUAAUACCCCGCUGUUCUGACGGUACCCAAAGAAUAAGCACCGGCUAACUUCGU
rnacentral:rRNA from 1 species